AACGAACGCUGGCGGCAUGCCUAACACAUGCAAGUCGAACGCUCCGCAAGGGGAGUGGCGAACGGGUGAGUAACGCGUGGGAACCUGCCCAGUAGUUGGGGAUAACCGCGGGAAACUGCGGCUAAUACCGAAUACGCCCUAAGGGGAAAGAUUUAUCGCUAUUGGAGGGGCCCGCGUCGGAUUAGCUGGUUGGUGAGGUAACGGCUCACCAAGGCGACGAUCCGUAGCUGGUCUGAGAGGAUGAUCAGCCACACUGGGACUUAGACACGGCCCAGACUCCUACGGGAGGCAGCAGUGGGGAAUAUUGGACAAUGGGGGCAACCCUGAUCCAGCAAUGCCGCGUGAGUGAUGAAGGCCUUAGGGUUGUAAAGCUCUUUUACCGGGGACGAUGAUGACGGUACCCGGAGAAUAAGCCCCGGCUAAC
rnacentral:rRNA from 1 species